GGUGGAACAAACUCCCUCACGACGCCAGGACAGCGGAGUCAAUCACCACCUUCCGGAGACACCUGAAACCCCACCUCUUCAAGGAAUACCUAGGAUAGGAUAAAGUAAUCCUUCUCACCCCCCGCCCCCUAAAAGAUUUAGAUGCACUAUUGUAAAGUGGCUGUUCCACUGGAUGUCAUAAGGUGUAUGCACCAAUUUGUAAGUCGCUCUGGACAAGAGCGUCUGCUAAAUGACUUAAAUGUAAAAAUGUAAAGACCUCACAAUGAUGUGGUGCAAAGAACUGAACUAAAUAGUGUGUGAUAAUGACAUUCAGGUGUGUGAUCAGAAUUCAGGUGAUCUGGAAAGUGAGCUGCGUUCAGGGGAUCUAAGUGUUUUGAGGGUGUGAGCUGGAAGGGCCAAUCUGUAACGUCUGCUAUCUAGAAGAGACCCCUACCACCUGCUCUUGAGUCUAGACCCUUGUGUGGAUCUUGGAGAAUUGUAUGUGUGUAUAAGUAAUAUGGUAAUAACGCCACUUUUCCCUCUGACAGGAUAGGUGGAAGUUACACCCUAUUCCUAUCCAAUCACCUCUGAUCUAAGGUUUAGACUUGAGUAGGGGCUAGGGUUGUUUCUGGACGGGGCUAGAUUGUUUUGUGAUGUCAUUGGUGAUCACCUGAUAUUUUCUACCUGCCAGUAUCAACAUUAUCAUGCUCUAGUAAUGUUUCAAUACCAGUCCUGGUGGUUAUGGCUCAGCCAGGUUGGACUGUAGUGGUAGUUAGGGCUCAACCAGGUUGGACUGUAGUGGUAGUUAGGGCUCAGCCAGGUUGGACUGUAGUGGUAGUUAGGGCUCAGCCAGGUUGGACUAGUGGUAGUUAGGGCUCAGCCAGGUUGGACUGUAGUGGUAGUUAGGGCUCAGCCAGGUUGGACUGUAGUGGUAGUUAGGGCUCAGCCAGGUUGGACUGUAGUGGUAGUUAGGGCUCAGCCAGGUUGGACUGUAGUGGUGGUUAGGGCUCAGCCAGGUUGGACUGUAGUGGUGGUUAGGGCUCAGCCAGGUUGGACUGUAGUGGUAGUUAGGGCUCAGCCAGGUUGGACUGUAGUGGUAGUUAGGGCUCAGCCAGGUUGGACUGUAGUGGUAGUUAGGGCUCAGCCAGGUUGGACUGCAGUGGUAGUUAGGGCUCAGCCAGGUUGGACUGUAGUGGUAGUUAGGGCUCAGCCAGGUUGGACUGUAGUGGUAGUUAGGGCUCAGCCAGGUUGGACUGUAGUGGUAGUUAGGGCUCAGCCAGGUUGGACUGCAGUGGUAGUUAGGGCUCAGCCAGGUUGGACUAGUGGUAGUUAGGGCUCAGCCAGGUUGGACUAGUGGUAGUUAGGGCUCAGCCAGGUUGGACUAGUGGUAGUUAGGGCUCAGCCAGGUUGGACUAGUGGUAGUUAGGGCUCAGCCAGGUUGGACUAGUGGUAGUUAGGGCUCAGCCAGGUUGGACUAGUGGUAGUUAGGGCUCAGCCAGGUUGGACUGUAGUGGUAGUUAGGGCUCAGCCAGGUUGGACUGUAGUGGUAGUUAGGGCUCAGCCAGGUUGGACUAGUAGUAGUUAGGGCUCAGCCAGGUUGGACUGUAGUGGUAGUUAGGGCUCAGCCAGGUUGGACUGUAGUGGUAGUUAGGGCUCAGCCAGGUUGGACUGUAGUGGUAGUUAGGGCUCAGCCAUGUUGGACUGUAGUGGUAGUUAGGGCUCAGCCAGGUUGAACUGUAGUGGUGGUUAGGGCUCAGCCAGGUUGGACUGUAGUGGUAGUUAGGGCUCAGCCAGGUUGGACUGCAGUGGUAGUUAGGGCUCAGCCAGGUUGGACUGUAGUGGUAGUUAGGGCUCAGCCAGGUUGGACUGUAGUGGUAGUUAGGGCUCAGCCAGGUUGGACUGCAGUGGUAGUUAGGGCUCAGCCAGGUUGGACUAGUGGUAGUUAGGGCUCAGCCAGGUUGGACUAGUGGUAGUUAGGGCUCAGCCAGGUUGGACUAGUGGUAGUUAGGGCUCAGCCAGGUUGGACUAGUGGUAGUUAGGGCUCAGCCAGGUUGGACUAGUGGUAGUUAGGGCUCAGCCAGGUUGGACUAGUGGUAGUUAGGGCUCAGCCAGGUUUUUUUCAUAUUUUGAAAGAUGGGGGGUGUAAAUUACCUCCAUGUAAUUUACACUUCUUUGUUUUGUUAAUUUCUAUGGAGGUGUGAUUGGGAUCAGGUCAUUGGGGUUAUUCCAAAGAGCUAGAUCAUUAAGUUAGCCAGCAACUAACUCUUAAUAAACAGUCACAGAUAUCUCUUGAUUUUUCUGUUUUACUUUAGAAACAGAAACUUGACUUUUGUUUUUCGUUUUAAUUAUUUUGAGUCAAUUAUACCGUGCUAAUUUCAAGUGUAAUAUUUCUGGGAAAUGGGAUGUUAUUGCAGAAUAUUUAGGACCGUUAACAUGAUUAAUGUAUAUAUCCUGCUUUCUGGAUGUAAAAAACCAUGAGGCCCUGCGUCGUCUGUGGUGCGUAUGGAUGGAUGAACGUCAUGUUGACUACAGUGAGUCAGAACAUUUAGAAAGAACUAGAUAAGAAUGCAUCCAUCUUUUUUUGUAUAUUGAAAAAAAAUACUGACUUAACCAACUGUGUGUUUAUUCUCAGACCAAUUAAGUCCUGUGUGUGGACGCAGUACACACAAAUCCAUGUGUAGCCCCAUGAUGGAAAAACACACAACACAACCAGUGCACACUGAAGUGUCUUUGUGUGUUAGUGUAGACUAGGGCUGGGAUUCAACCCCUUCAGCUGUAGAUCUGGGUUAUAAACAAGCUUGACAUUUUCAAGGUAAUAUCUGAUUGAGCCAAUAUAUGCAGUGUUCACAGUGAAUGUGGGAUUGGAUUGAAUACAUUAAAAAGACAAAAAUAAAGCUAAUAUUGAUUA